rnacentral:lncRNA from 1 species
UCUCUUCCAGCCUAGAUAAUUCUGUGAUUCUGUGUUCAGCAUAGACUUGGAGAGGCACAGAGGGAAACCUGCACGGGAUGCUGGUGGUGACUGCCUGCACCUUCUCACCUCACAUCCCCUUGAAAGCUGUGCUCAGGUCAUGCGUUGAGGCUCCUCGACACUGCUGGCACCGGGGCCUCUCUCUCCCGAAAUCCAUGGAUGUGGAUGACACCGGCAGGAGCAGCGGAUCACUUACCACCGAGAGAAUCGCCCCCAACAGCACGCAGAUAAAACGGAGACAAAGAAAUACAUUGGAGGAAAUAAACGCUCCUGUGUGGGGAAGGCCAGCAAAAGAACACCAUUAGUCACCCUGAAGAUGGAUUUGGAGAGGUACACAACAAGGGUAAAUACCUCCUUUUGUGCCUCGGAGUGGCUGGUGGGAGCGGCGAUCCCGCUUGGAGCGGCAGCGCUGCCUUUGCUGACAAAGUCAUGCCCCAAAGUCCCCACCAACUCCCUGCCUUUGCCCACAGUUAAGCAAUAACCGGAGAGACAAAUUUCGAUCAAAUCUUGUAAAACCAAAAAGGAAGCCUAACUGGAUUGACAAGCUUUAGUCUGAUGCAAUUUGAAACGGUUGGCUGCUAAAUCCUAAAAUUCAAGGGUUUUUACAGAAUUGGUCAUAGACGUUUAAGUACAAGGCAGUGAGUGUGUCUUGCUAUAAUAUAGAUCAUAAACUGGAAGCCGAGCUCAUUGCAGGCUGUUUUGCAGGCUGUGAAGCCUCUUCCAUCGUGUGUUUGUGUGUAUUUCUCAACCUUUCUGAAUGUGUUCAAGUUAUCCUCUGUUCAAUCCGCACUGGGGAACAGCAGUAGAAGCUAUGGCCAUAAUGACAGGAGGAAAACAUAUAUUCACUUCCUGACUCUCUAAAAAGUAUUUAGCCCCAGCAAUGAGUUCUGGAGGGCAUCCUUUGAGAUUUCACACACAAACACAAAAUCACUCUCAGCGUUGCAGGGCUCAUUAUUCUUAUGAUCCUAAGCAGAUUUUUGUAAAAGAAAAAGACCAAGAAUAAUGAAAUCUUUAAAUAAUUACAUUCAGUAAAUCAGGCAGAUAAUAUAUUUCAACAAGCCCUUUGGGGAAAAAAAAAAAAAGCAGUUAAAAUGUUUUUAUUUUCAUUCCAAUAAUUCAUCCCUGAUUAUCCUAUAGAUACUGUGCAGUGCAUGAUCCAGUAUUGAACACCAAAAGGUAAUGGUAUCAGCGCAGAGCAACAUCAGCAGAGGAGAAGAGUAAAUAUGACUUUAAUUGUAGGCUCUCUAUUAUUAUUUUAUAGUGUAGGCUUUUCAGAUAAUUUAUUAAUACUAACAAAGACGAGUGAUUUGGAGGCUGCAUAUUUUUUAUUUCUUAGGAGUUAUUUUAUUUGAUAAUGACAUUAAAUAUUAGAAACUCUAACAGCUGGUGUGUUUAUCCUUACUUGAGUGUAUUAACCUCUUUAGCCCUUUUUUCCAGAAGAAGGAUUCAGCAUUACAGAUUUGACUGUCAGCUGCAGUGCCUGGCGGCCCGUUGGAUUGGCACCCUGACAGAAUCGAAAGUCCAGUGCUGCAAGUAAACAUGGAUGACAUUGCAGAUAGAUAGAACUGGCUGACUUGAGGCACCUGCAGCUGUUUGCACCAGAAUAAAAGCAAAGGUUGUGGGCA